rnacentral:rRNA from 1 species
AUUGAACGCUGGCGGCAGGCUUAACACAUGCAAGUCGAGCGAGCGGCGGACGGGUGAGUAAUGUCUGGGCAACUGCCUGAUGGAGGGGGAUACCUACUGGAAACGGUAGCUAAUACCGCAUACCAUCAGAUGUGCCCAUAUGGGAUUAGCUAGUAGGUGGGGUAAGGGCUCACCUAGGCGUCGAUCACUAGCUGGUCUGUGAGGAUGACCAGCCACCCUGGAACUGAGACACGGCCCAGACUCCGACGGGAGUCAGCAGUGGGGAAUAUUGCACAAUGGGCGCAAGCCUUAUGCAGCCAUGCCGCGUGUGUGAAGAAGGCCUUCGGGUUGUAAAGCACUUUCAGCGAGGAGGCGUUACUCGCAGAAGAAGCACCGGCUAACUCCGUGCCAGCAGCCGCGGUAAUUC